AGUGUGAGGUAGGGUAGUGGCCAUUGUCGUGACUUGCCAGAGAGUUCGGAUCUGUCAGCUAGAGCUCGAUUGGGAUGUCUGAUGGAGCGGAAUGGCUCUCUGUCUCAUCAAUCCAGAAGAAGCUCGGGUGUUUUCGAGGUUGCUGACGGGUCUACUGUUGCCGGGUGCCUAGAGCGUUGAUGCUGCAGGUGGGAGUCAUCUAUUAUAGAAGCUCGGAUGGGGACUUUCUAUUGGAAAAGUCUGGUUUCAUGAGGAAUCUGGCAGA
rnacentral:lncRNA from 1 species